UACGUAGGGGGGCAAGCGUUGUCCGGAUUUAUUGGGCGUAAAGAGCGUGUAGGCGGCCUGACAAGUCUGCUGUGAAAAACUCGAGGCUCAACCUCGAGAUGUCGGCGGAAACUGUCUGGCUAGAGUCCGGAAGAGGAGAGUGGAAUUCCUGGUGUAGCGGUGAAAUGCGCAGAUAUCAGGAAGAACACCUAUGGCGAAGGCAGCUCUCUGGGACGGUACUGACGCUGAGACGUGAAAGCGUGGGGAGCGAACAGG
rnacentral:rRNA from 1 species